rnacentral:sRNA from 1 species
CAUGUUCAACCUGUUGAGGAGAAAUAAAAUGAAUAUGGGUAUCAAUGCCAGCAGCCGUGAGGAUGAGAUGUUCACCGGAUAUCGCAUCAGUACUAACACCAACUACCAUACCGGGGGUAACACCAUUCAUCAUGUUAGGAUUACCACUUUUACCUAUCCCGACAAUGCGUCCCCCUUUUAUGCCGACAUCCGCUUUAAUAACACCUUGCCGGGCAUCCAAAAUAGUGACGCUGGUAAUCACCAAAUCCAAGAUGUUUUCGCUGGUCAUUCGGUUAUCCGCACCCAUACCAUCACG